GNUCAGGACGAACGCUGGCGGCGUGGAUUAGGCAUGCAAGUCGAACGAGAAUCGUAACUUCGGUUAUGAGGAGAGUGGCGAAAGGGUGARURRCKCGUARGUAWUUUGCCCUUGAGACCGGAAUAACAUCCCGAAAGGGUUGCUAAUACCGGAUAAUAUCCAUUAACCUUAGGGUUUUUGGAUCAAAUGAAGGCUCUGCUUUCGCUCAAGGAGAAACCUGCGUCCUAUUAGCUUGUUGGUAGGGUAAUGGCCUACCAAGGCGAUGAUGGGUAGCUGGUCUGAGAGGAUGGUCAGCCACAUUGGGACUGAGACACUGCCCAAACUWMUACGGAAGGCUGCAGUCGAGAAUAUUUCGCAAUGGGGGAAACCCUGACGAUGCGACGCCGCGUGGGGGAUGAAGGUCUUCGGAUUGUAAACUCCUGUUCUACAAGAAGAACGAGCAGUUAGUGAUAAGCUAACUGCAGUGACUGUAUUGUAGCAGCAAGCCCCAGCUAACUACGUGCCAGCAGCUGCGGUAAUACGUAGGGGGCAAGCGUUGUCCGGAAUUACUGGGCGUAAAGCGCACGCAGGCGGCCAUAUAAGUCGGAUAUGAAAUUGCUUGGCUUAACCAAGCAACUGUAUUCGAUACUGCAUGGCUUGAGUGCGAGAGGGGAAAGUGGAAUGUACAGUGUAGCGGUGAAAUGCGUAGAGAUUGUACAGAACACCGGUAGCGAAGGCAGCUUUCUGGCUCGAUACUGACGCUGAGGUGCGAAAGUCUGGGUAGCGAACGGGAYKMKAUACCCCGKYAGUCCAGACCGUAAACGAUGGGUACUAAGUGUAGGAGAUACGACUCUUCUGUGCUGUANCUAACGCAUUAAGUACCCCGCCUGGGGAGUACGGCCGCAAGGUUAAAACUCAAAUGAA
rnacentral:rRNA from 1 species